rnacentral:rRNA from 1 species
UGGGGAAUAUUGCGCAAUGGGCGAAAGCCUGACGCAGCGACGCCGCGUGAGGGAUGAAGGUUUUCGGAUCUUAAACCUCUGUCAGAAGGGAAGAAACCGCACUGUGCUAAUCAGCAGUGCCUUGACGGUACCUUCAAAGGAAGCACCGGCUAACUCCGUGCCAGCAGCCGCGGUAAUACGGAGGGUGCAAGCGUUAAUCGGAAUUACUGGGCGUAAAGCGCACGUAGGCUGCUUUGUAAGUCAGGGGUGAAAUCCCACGGCUCAACCGUGGAACUGCCUUUGAUACUGCUUAGCUUGAAUCCGGGAGAGGGUGGCGGAAUUCCAGGUGUAGGAGUGAAAUCCGUAGAUAUCUGGAAGAACAUCAGUGGCGAAGGCGGCCACCUGGACCGGUAUUGACGCUGAGGUGCGAAAGCGUGGGGAGCAAACAGG